UUAUUGAAGUAUAAAUGACACACCAUAUUAUAUGAGUGCCAAGUGUACACCUAGUGAUUGCUAUUUUUAUACAUCAUGAAACGAUGGCCAUUCUAAGUCUAGUACCAUCUGUCACCAUACAACGUUAUUUCAAUAUUAUUGACUAUAUUCUCUACACUGUACAUUGCAUCCACAUGACUGAUUCAUCUUAUAACUGGACAUUUUUACCUCUCUAUCCCCUUCACCUACUUCUAAAACAGCUGUUUCAAUAAAGGCUCUAGAUCAAUGGGCCCCUACCUCUCCCCCUCGCACCCUAGAUGGUUGCCCAGCUCUGCACUCCUUGAUCACACCGUGCCUGCCGGGGUCAGCAUGAGAGACUCCAGGACCUGGGAGAACGAGGUAGAGGGUCUGCAGCCCUGGGGGCCGACCUUUCCCUGGGGACCCCCCAGAAUUACUUGAGGGAGAAAAGGGAACAUUAGAGCACUUAUGAGAGCUGUUUGAGAAAACAGGGCAUUUUGAGUUAUGAUUCAAAUAGCUUUAUAUUUCUGAACAUUUAAAAUUUCCUCACAUCUACAGUUUCCAUUAUCAUCUGUUUCAAAACCAAUAAAUGACAAGGGAUUGUAUGUUUUCCUUCAAACAACAUGAGGAACAGGUAAGACCUACACCCACUCCACAAACCCUGUUGGGAGGAGCAGAGCAAAGGAAUGCAUGGAUUGUUGGUGGGAGAAGGGAGACGGGCUAAGGUCUUAGGUCCUGCAAUAGGACAGAAAGCAGAGUUUGCAGACCCCGAAGAGCCCCAACAGGGCUUGCUGAGAAAAAUAAUAGAUGUGUUCUAAACUUUGGGGUGGGAGAGGGAAUUUUCAAAUUUCAUAUAGGAGCAGACUGUAUAUAACCAUUUAGCUGGAUUUAUUCUCCCAUUCAACCAAUGUGCUUAUUUACAAAUAAAUAAUUCUUAUCUAUAUAGAAUUUGGCCAUGUAGUAGAUUUUUCUUUUAAUUUCCUACAUACAAACACCCAUCAAUGCUUUUUGAUAAGAUGGUAAUUCCAGGUCCCUCCAGGCUCUCCCUUGAUAACAUUUUACAGCCAUUAGUUGAGUGACUAUGUAGGCUUUAUAGCCAUAGAAUCACAUUUCUUCUGCUAUUGAGACCCUUUGGGGAUUCAAACGGCUCUUUGCCACCACCAAGAUCAAUUAAGGAGGUAGUACUGUGUUCUGAAUUCAGACUGGAGAUGUCAGGAAACCAAUAAGCUCCAAACAAAAUGGAACCACUAAAAGUGAAAAGACUUGCCAGUGUGUCUCUGCCUACCAAAGCAUUCAGCAGAAAGGGAAAACACGCAGCCUUCACUUGCACUGUUUGGUUUUCCUCAAAGAACAGUAACAUCAAUGAUGAGGAUGCUGUCUGGGCAUGUUGCAAAUGCGCCUUACUGCCCCCUGCCUUGGUCUCUACCAGUUGGGCUCCUCUGCUUGAGUUCUUUGUCGUGUCUUUGCCGUGGUGUGUGCAGGCUGCUGCUCUCUACCCAAGAACAGGGCCCCUACAAGGAAGAAACCACCAUAGUUAUCUGUGCCUAUAGACCUUUAAAUUCUUGAGGGCAGACUCUUGCUCUACCCCCACCCCCACCCCACCCUCUCCCCCCAACUUUGUAACCUGAAGGUCGCAGCGAGCAGCUGCUAACAGAUACCCCGCUGCUAAGCCUAUCUGAGGACACAGACAACUGCGAAGACGUGAAACCAGAGGCGGAGAAGAGGAGAGACCUCAGGAGGGCAGGCGCUGAGGAGAACAAUGGAAAGCCUGAAGAAGGGAAGAAAACCGGCUUAGGAAACUUGACUCUGGCAGCACCCCCCACUGUGGCUGUGAAACACCCGCCUUUCUGCCCGAGGUGCCCUUCUGAGAACAAGUGAAAGUAACGUCAGAGGAGGAGCGUGAGGAGCGUUCUCUGUCGAGGGAACAGGCCUUUAUCGAAAACCCGGCUCAGCCGUGGCUUCCAGUCAGGUCAUGGAGCUUCUCAGUCAUCUCCUCUGCAAAGUUCAGAUCAGAGUCUCCAGUCAUUUACAUGGAUGCUCUACAGAUUAGCUGUCAAGUGUUUUGAGACUGUUAACUCCUUGACAAACGCUAAUGAGACGUGUCAAAGAAACUGCUACGAUUCGUUCACAUACAUCACUCCACCGGCUCUGUAUUACCACCUUAGGUCCCGUUAUUUACAGGCAUCAGUUUUUAAAUUGUAUUGCACUCUACACUGUCCUCCAAAUAAGCACCAGGUUUUAACUAUAAAGUCUUGAGUUUUCAGCCGUCACUGCUGAGUCGAUCUUCAGGGUCUGUGUUAUGAGCAGAGAGAAGGUCAUCUGCCCAGAGCCUCGGGUUGGCUGGGAAUCCCCAAGGCGUCAUGAGCCUGGGAGUUGUAACAAAGACACCUGCAUCCUUACUUUAAGGAAAGAACAUCAGCUGGGAAGCCAGGAAGAAAAGCCAGGCUGACGGGCAAAGUGGGGGCGAUGACUACAUCCUCAGCUUCAAAUUACGUCCCGCACUUGGACCAAAGACCGCGUGAGUAUAGAAAAUAUCGACUCCGCGAUUUCUUUGAGUUGUAUCUCUCGGACUCUAAAUGUAUUUGGAACAAGCUAGGAAAAAAAAGCCCCGCAAACAUCUCUGUCCUAAGGGGGAAAAAGGCAUGCUGCAUUUAUCCAACUUUCCGGGGGAAAGGAAAAUAAAGACCACUUUAACAUCGGGCUACAAAGUGUCCAGCUGCAUUCCCACCUUGGCCCUGACUACUCAGGGCUCCAGGGCCAGUCCUUGAACCUGAGUCUCUGUCACAUUCUCGGCCUCUGCUUGUAAACACAAAAUUAAAACACUUCUUUCCGAGAACAGUUUAGUGGCAACCAGAGGGGAAGGGGGUAGGGGGUGGGCACAAGGGGUGAAGGGGCACAU